AAAAAUGCCUAAGUCAGCCUAUGUCAGAAAAGUUACCACAGGGAUAACUGGCUUGUGGCAGCCAUGCGUUCAUGGCGAUGUUGCUUUUUAAUCCUUCAAUGUCGGCUCUUCCUAUCAUUGUGAAGCAGAAUUCACCAUGUGUUGGAUUGUUCACCCACCAAUAGGGAACGUGAGCUGGGUUUAGACCGUCGUGAGACAGGUUAGUUUU
rnacentral:ncRNA from 1 species